UGAAAAAGAAGUAAAAGAAAUUAGUGACGGCAGAGAACCAUCAAAAAAGAUUCUUCACGGUUUGGGACCUUUCCAUCCCUUCACAGUGAGUCCUUGGAUGUUACAUCCUUGAGUUCUCAAGGUACCUGCAAGAAAAAGGAUAUGUCCAAGCCCUCCACAGAUGCUCAGCCCUCAGGGGUACUCUCGGGCCUUUUCUUACCCAAAACACCAUGUAAGUCAGCCUUUCCCUCUUCCCCGACCUCUCUGAAUGGCAAGACUCCCUGUGAGCGUGAAGGAGCACAGAUUACUGUCCCGUUCCUGUCCCUGGCUGAGUGUGAAGCACUGGAACGCCACCUCCUAAAGAAACAACUAAGCAAGCUUCAGUGGGGCCUGCCAGCUCUCCUCCUCCAAAACCAGCGCCGAAUGCUGUGUGAAGCACCCAGUGAGGCUAAGACAGUAAAAACUUCCUUGGCAAGGAAGCCCUUUUUACAUCCCACCAGGGACAUCUUCCCAGAGCACGCAGGAAGGCUGCUGGAAUUCCACCUGCAGAAGCAGCUGAUUCACCUCCGCUGGGGGCUGCCCCAGAGGAUCCAGCGCUCCAUGAAUAUGCUGCUCUCCUCAACAGACCCACAGUCCCUGCCCUGUGGCAGCAGUAGCUUACCCAAUGUGAGCAUCUCACAGCCCGGGAAACCAGAGGCCAAUGGGCCUGGUGACAUGUUCUCACUCACAGCGGGCAAAGGGACAAUCCCCAUGCCACACUUGUUUGCCAAGACAAGGGAAAUGUUGAAAAGCCAUGUUGAUUCCAAAUGUGAACAGAUCCGGGAGGGCAAGGUCCCGGCCCAAGUCUGGAAAUCUUGGGAAUGCAAAAUUCCUGGAAGCUUAGCAACAGUGGCUCCCUUCCCUUAUAUUCAACAAGGCCAAUGCAGGAAGUUACAGGCAGACAGUAAAAGUGACCAGGAGACACAAACCUUAUCUGGUACUCUCUUUGAACACUGUAAGAAGCCCCAAUCCCUGCCUAAGGAAACCAUUAAGAAACUGGAGACAACUUUACAUCAUAAGUAUCUGGCCUUCCUGUCAGGCCUGCCUGCCCUUUACUGUGUAGCUCUCUCUAGGCCUGCAUCCCCAGCAGUCAAUAGCCAACCUAGACUCAGAGAGAAGAUGCCCAAAGCUGUCAAAAGCCCAUCAAAUGCUCUGACUCAAAUAACCCCACUUGAGCCCUGCGCUCACGAUGACAGUGGGGUGUCUGUGGACACUGCAGAAGAGUUCCAGCCUGGAGCAGAGGCGGACAGAAGGACAGAGAAGGUGCCUGCAGAGAGUCAGCCUCCCCCAUGCAGACCCUACCCAAUAAACACACAUAUCUUGGCCAAACUGAAUUUCCACCUGAAAAAAAAAAAGAUCCUAGCAAUGCAGUUUGGGAUUUCUGAAAAGGAAAAGAGAGAAUACAAGGAGCUGGGUACAGCCGACCUAGAGAGCGAAUCCAUCCAGGAAUUUCUCAGAAGUCUACACAUGUCAGAGAGCACACUGCUUCAGGAACAGCCUGUCGCAUGCCCAUCUCUGCCAGCCCCAAAUGCAAAAGGGGUCCACCCUAAAAAACAGCCAGCUUCUGCAGUACAGGAUGUGUGUCAGGCGCAAAGGCCUCCUCCUUCCAAAGCAGUGCCCCAUAGUUCUGCCCAGCAGAGCUCCAAGGCCUCGCAAUCCCAAAGGGAUAAGACCCAAGUCUGUGUUGACAUGGAAGCUGGAGGGAAAAGGUUCAACCUAGAGAAAUCCAAAGUUGUGGGGGACCUUGGAGAAGGGGACGCAGGUCUUGGGUUUUCCCUGGUCAGUCAAAAGACACGCCAGGAUGGAGAGCAGGAGAAGAGGCUCCUGCACAGACCACUCCAGGGCUCCUCACAACAGGGUCACACCUUUCAUCUUGAGGAUGCCUGUCCACACAGUCCCCGGGAGUCCCCUGAGCUCCAGUUCCCAGACCCACCUCCAGAAGUCUUCAUGGAGACAGACUCUGAGCAGGACAUGGAAGACAGUCAAAGCGAGGAAUCCAUUGUCCCAGAACCUGAAAUUCUUUUUUCACUCUAUUAACCCCAAGAUGAAGAGCAAAGCACACACGGAGCCAUCCACGGUCUCUACACCUGGAAAGGUGGCCAAAACCAGUAAAGAAAAUGUUGAUAGGGGUCUGCCUCAUGCCAAGAGCCCCACCAAGAAAACUAAGCCAGAGGACUCCAGAGGGCCCAAGGCCCAGUUUUCGUCCUCUGAGAAGUCAGUGAUGGCCUCCUUAUUAACUGCUCCCCAUAUUGUAGACAGUAAGCUCCGGCCUCGCUCCCAGCAGCUUGGCUCUGUCUCAAUAUUAGGCAACUCCCGCCAUUGCCCUCGGCACUGUCCUAGGUUGGCUUAUGCCACUCACCACAGAAACCUACCCUAGCUCCCAGGGUUUACUUCAGAAAUGCUCUUCUGGUAUUGGAGACCGCCCUGCAUGGUGACAGUUUCUAGGCUCCCCAACCUCUGUAUCCCUUUAAGAGCACAGCAUUGUCAUUUUCUUUGAUGAACAGGUAGGGACUGCACUACCCAAAAUGUAUUUUCUAUCUCCGAAUGAGUUGUCUGUCGUCUUUGUCUCUGCUGUACAUUAUUAAGAGAAGGUAUGAAGGAAAUAAAAAUGCCCUCAUCCUGGGAAGGAGACUUGAACUUACUUCAGACAAGUCAGUUUUCCUUACCCCAACCUAGAAUGUGAAUUAAACACUUGACCAGAAA